CCUACGGGUGGCAGCAGUGAGGAAUAUUGGUCAAUGGCCGGAAGGCUGAACCAGCCAAGCCGCGUGAAGGACGAAGGUGCCAAGCAUUGUAAACUUCUUUUGUCAAGGGACAAAAUCAGGCUCGAGAGCCUGACCGAGUGUACUUGACGAAAAAGCAUCGGCUAACUCCGUGCCAGCAGCCGCGGUAAUACGGAGGAUGCGAGCGUUAUCCGGAUUUAUUGGGUUUAAAGGGUGCGUAGGCGGACUGUUAAGUCAGCGGUAAAAGCCCGGGGCUCAACCCCGGAACUGCCAUUAUGACUAUGUAUCUAGAGUAAUGGAGAGGAGAGCGGAAUACCCAGUGUAGAGGUGAAAUUCGUAGAUAUUGGGUAGAACACCGGUGGCGAAGGCGGCUAUCUGGCCAUUUACUGACGCUGAGGCUCGAAAGCAUGGGGAUCAAACAGGAUUAGAUACCCGUGUAGUC
rnacentral:rRNA from 1 species